CCUACGGGGGGCUGCAGUGGGGAAUUUUGGACAAUGGGGGAAACCCUGAUCCAGCCAUCCCGCGUGUAUGAUGAAGGCCUUCGGGUUGUAAAGUACUUUUGGCAGAGAAGAAAAGGCAUCCCCUAAUACGGGAUGCUGCUGACGGUAUCUGCAGAAUAAGCACCGGCUAACUACGUGCCAGCAGCCGCGGUAAUACGUAGGGUGCAAGCGUUAAUUGGAGCGACUGGGCGUAGAGCGUGUGUAGGCAGUUGAAAUCCCAGGGCUCAACCUUGGAACUGCAUUUUUAACUGCCGAGCUAGAGUAUGUCAGAGGGGGGUAGAAUUCCACGUGUAGCAGUGAAAUGCGUAGAUAUGUGGAGGAAUACCGAUGGCGAAGGCAGCCCCCUGGGAUAAUACUGACGCUCAGACACGAAAGCGUGGGGAGCAAACAGGAUUAGAUACCCUAGUAGUC
rnacentral:rRNA from 1 species